rnacentral:rRNA from 1 species
UUGGAGGGCAAGUCUGGUGCCAGCAGCCGCGGUAAUUCCAGCUCCAAUAGCGUAUAUUAAAGUUGUUGCAGUUAAAAAGCUCGUAGUUGAAUUUCGGGAUCAAUACGUCGGUCGUGCUUUUUUGGUACGCACUGGCGUCAUUGGUUUCUCCUUUCUGACGAACCAUGAUGUCAUUAAUUUGGUGUUAUGGGGAGUUAGGACUGUUACUUUGAAAAAAUUAGAGUGUUUAAAGCAGGCAUUAGCUUGAAUACAUUAGCAUGGAAUAAUGAAAUAGGACGUUCGAUCCUAUUUUGUUGGUUUCUAGGAUCAACGUAAUGAUUAAUAGGGAUAGUUGGGGGCAUUAGUAUUCAAUUGUCAGAGGUGAAAUUCUUGGAUUUAUUGAUGACUAACUACUGCGAAAGCAUUUGCCAAGGAUGUUUUCAUUAAUCAAGAACGAAAGUUAGGGGAUCGAAGACGAUCAGAUACCGUCGUAGUCUUAACCAUAAACUAUGCCGACUAGGGAUCGGAUGAUGUUAAUUUUUUAAUGACUCAUUCGGCGCCUUACGGGAAAC